rnacentral:rRNA from 1 species
AGAGUUUGAUCCUGGCUCAGAACGAACGCUGGCGGCGUGCUUAACACAAGCAAGUCGAACGUGAUCCAGAGCUUGCUCUGGUGAAAGUGGCGCACGGGUGAGUAACGCGUGGAUAACCUGCCUGGUAUCUGGGAUAACAUCUCGAAAGGGGUGCUAAUACCGGAUAAGCCCACGGGACCCUCGGGUUCUGCGGGAAAAGGAGGCCUCUAUUUAUAAGCUUCCGUAUCAUGAUGGGUCCGCGUACCAUUAGCUAGUUGGUGGGGUAAUGGCCUACCAAGGCGACGAUGGUUAGCUGGUCUGAGAGGAUGAUCAGCCACACUGGAACUGAGACACGGUCCAGACUCCUACGGGAGGCAGCAGUGGGGAAUUUUGCGCAAUGGGGGAAACCCUGACGCAGCAACGCCGCGUGAGUGAUGAAGGCUUUCGGGUCGUAAAGCUCUGUCAGAGGGGAAGAAAUGGAAACGGUCAAUACCCGUUUUUCUUGACGGUACCCUCAAAGGAAGCACCGGCUAACUCCGUGCCAGCAGCCGCGGUAAUACGGGGGGUGCAAGCGUUGUUCGGAUUUAUUGGGCGUAAAGCGCGUGUAGGCGGUUUCUUAAGUCUGAUGUGAAAGCCCCGGGCUCAACCCGGGAAGUGCAUUGGAUACUGGGAGACUUGAAUACGGGAGAGGGUAGUGGAAUUCCUAGUGUAGGAGUGAAAUCCGUAGAUAUUAGGAGGAACACCGGUGGCGAAGGCGGCUACCUGGACCGAUAUUGACGCUGAGACGCGAAAGCGUGGGGAGCAAACAGGAUUAGAUACCCUG